rnacentral:rRNA from 1 species
GAUGAACGCUGGCGGCGUGCCUAACACAUGCAUUUCGAACGGUUAAGGCGCCUUCGGGCGCGAAUAGAGUGGCGAACGGGUGAGUAACGCGUGGCCAACCUGCCUCCUCCUCCGGGACAACCUCGGGAAACCGAGGCUAAUACCAGAUGCUCCGGGCCCCCCGCAUGGGGGGCCCGGGAAAGCCCAGGCGGGAGGGGAUGGGGCCGCGUCCCAUCAGGUAGUAGGCGGGGUGACGGCCCACCUAGCUGACGACGGGUAGCCGGACUGAGAGGUCGAUCGGCCACAUUGGGACUGAGACACGGCCCAGACUCCUACGGGAGGCAGCAGUGGGGAAUUUUGCGCAAUGGGGGGAACCCUGACGCAGCAACACCGCGUGCGGGACGAAGGCCUUCGGGUCGUAAACCGCUUUCGGCAGGGAAGAAUUUUGACGGUACCUGCAGAAGAAGCCCCGGCUAACUACGUGCCAGCAGCCGCGGUAAUACGUAGGGGGCGAGCGUUAUCCGGAUUCAUUGGGCGUAAAGCGCGCGUAGGCGUCUCCUCAAGCGGCACCGUCGAAGCCGGGGGCUCAACCCCCGGAAGCGGGCCGAACUGGGGGGAUCGAGUGCGGUAGGGGCAGGCGGAAUUCCCGGUGUAGCGGUGAAAUGCGCAGAUAUCGGGAAGAACACCGACGGCGAAGGCAGCCUGCUGGGCCGGCACUGACGCUGAGGCGCGAAAGCUGGGGGAGCGAACAGGAUUAGAUACCCUGGUAGUCCCAGCCGUAAACGAUGGGCGCUAGGUGUGGGGGAGCCAUUCCUCCGUGCCGCAGCCAACGCAUUAAGCGCCCCGCCUGGGGAGUACGGCCGCAAGGCUAAAACUCAAAGGAAUUGACGGGGGCCCGCACAAGCAGCGGAGCAUGUGGCUUAAUUCGAAGCAACGCGAAGAACCUUACCUAGGCUUGACAUCCUUCUGACCGAGGACUAAUCUCCUCUUUCCCUCCGGGGACAGAAGUGACAGGUGGUGCAUGGUUGUCGUCAGCUCGUGUCGUGAGAUGUUGGGUUAAGUCCCGCAACGAGCGCAACCCUUGUCUUUAGUUGCCAUCAUUUAGUUGGGCACUCUAGAGAGACUGCCAGGGAUAACCUGGAGGAAGGUGGGGAUGACGUCAAAUCAUCAUGCCCCUUAUGCCUAGGGCUACACACGUGCUACAAUGGGUGGUACAGAGGGCAGCCAAGCCGUGAGGUGGAGCAAAUCCCUUAAAGCCAUUCUCAGUUCGGAUUGUAGGCUGAAACUCGCCUACAUGAAGCUGGAGUUAAGAGUAAUCGCAGAUCAGCAUGCUGCGGUGAA